UAACAAGGUCUCCGUAGGUGAACCUGCGGAGGGAUCAUUACACAAAUAUGAAGGCGGGCUGGAACCUCUCGGGGUUACAGCCUUGCUGAAUUAUUCACCCUUGUCUUUUGCGUACUUCUUGUUUCCUUGGUGGGUUCGCCCACCACUAGGACAAACAUAAACCUUUUGUAAUUGCAAUCAGCGUCAGUAACAAAUUAAUAAUUACAACUUUCAACAACGGAUCUCUUGGUUCUGGCAUCGAUGAAGAACGCAGCGAAAUGCGAUAAGUAGUGUGAAUUGCAGAAUUCAGUGAAUCAUCGAAUCUUUGAACGCACAUUGCGCCCUUUGGUAUUCCAAAGGGCAUGCCUGUUCGAGCGUCAUUUGUACCCUCAAGCUUUGCUUGGUGUUGGGCGUCUUGUCUCUAGCUUUGCUGGAGACUCGCCUUAAAGUAAUUGGCAGCCGGCCUACUGGUUUCGGAGCGCAGCACAAGUCGCACUCUCUAUCAGCAAAGGUCUAGCAUCCAUUAAGCCUUUUUUUCAACUUUUGACCUCGGAUCAGGUAGGGAUACCCGCUGAACUUAAGCAUAU
rnacentral:rRNA from 1 species